rnacentral:rRNA from 1 species
UACGAAGGGGGCUAGCGUUGCUUGGAAUCACUGGGCGUAAAGGGUGCGUAGGCGGGUCUUUAAGUCAGGGGUGAAAUCCUGGAGCUCAACUCCAGAACUGCCUUUGAUACUGAAGAUCUUGAGUUCGGGAGAGGUGAGUGGAACUGCGAGUGUAGAGGUGAAAUUCGUAGAUAUUCGCAAGAACACCAGUGGCGAAGGCGGCUCACUGGCCCGAUACUGACGCUGAGGCACGAAAGCGUGGGGAGCAAACAGGG